AGAGGCUAGUCUAUACAUGUACAUGUACAUGUAGUCCGGCCUGUCUGGAGUAUGUGUGUUGAAGUAAUGUAAUACCUGAGGACUGAGAUACCUGCUUGACAGCUUGAGUAUCCCAGUAUCCAGCUGGUAUUAGUAGUGUAUGUCAGUGAUAUUACUUUUGGGUAUGACAGUACCAGACCUCCUCACUAUAAACCAAUAUUACCAGUUGAUCUUGGUAGUCAGAUGAUCAUGUUCUAUUUGGAUAGUAAUUGUGAGUUCACUUUGAGGACCUCAGGGACUGAACCAAAGAUCAAGUAUUAUGUGUACAUGUUCAGUCCUCCUGGAGUACAUGCUGAUGAGUCCUCACUUAAAGAUACUUUGUCUCGUACUGUUGAUGAUAUUAUUACUGAAUUCAUUAAACCAGAUUAUUAUAAUUUAAUAUAUAGAUCUAUUUAAUAAGAGAUGUUAUGUGAGUCUAUUGUAUGCGUUUAGUGUUUAAUGUUAUUCUUUGGUUGUUGUGAUAAGUUUGUGUCACGUGAUCAGUAAA